CCCAUCCUCAUGGAUACUAUUUGGGUUCUUAACCCAUUCAGCCACAAUGGGAACUAAGAUGUCUUGUUUUUAAAUACUUCACCUGGUGGCUUAUUUAUUUAUUUAUUUAUUUUUAGCUUUCUGAAAGUAACAUUGAUAGAAGUGGCUUCAGUCUAAUGUGAUUUCCCAACUAUUACCUGAAAUUCAAAUAAAUAAUUGAGAGUACUCCUUGUAAAGAGAUUUUGUGAGGCCUCAACAAAGAAGACUUCUGAGGGAUAGUUAGAAAUAAACCUGCUUAUGUUCAGGUGUACAUGGAGUAUAUGUAUAUGUGAAAAUAGUUCUGAUAAGUCUGUUACUAAUUUUGGAGUGUGAGGUGCAAUGCCUAAUAUAAAGUCAUUAGGAGAUUAACGGGAAUGCAUAGGAAAUACCCAGACAAAUGAUUUCAUUACAUAUUAAUUUAAGAAUAACUUGGAAGCUAAAGUUCAUCUUUACAUAAAUAUGCAGAAUAUUAAGUUACUUGCAGAAUCAGACCUUAUCAGAUAUACCGUGAGUUCCUCUGUUUAUCAGAAUAUAAGACCAGCAAUGGUGCUCAGCAUAUCAGUUGAUGAUGCUUUUAGUUAUUUUAAAAGAAUGAAAAUCAUAGCUUCUGUACUGCUUACUCUUAUGGGUCAAGGAAAAGAAAAGUGAAGUUAACGCAACCAGCAUAUGUACAUAUUCUAUUCAAGUAGGUAGAAGUAGGAUUAUGAUUGAUUGCUGUCAAAGGGUAAUUAUUGUCAGAUUCCCUUGCAUAGCGCCUUUACCACACUCUACUUCCACCUGCAGUGCAUGAGAUUGCCUAUUUCUUUCGAGCCUGCCACUGUCAACUUUUAGAUUUUUGCAAUUUGAUGGAUGCGAAAGUUUUUUUGUAGUUUUCAUUUGCAUUUUAUGGUAGAUUGUGUUUGCAAAGAUGGCUGUAACAGUAGUUCCCAUCCCACAUGCUUUUUUAUUUUUUACAAUGUUACUUUGCCAGUUUUUCAAAUUGAGAUAAGAGUCUAUUUCCCUUUUCCUUGAAUCUGGGCUGGCCCAGUGACUGACUAUGAUUAAUAAUAUGUGUCAGAAGUGACACGCAGCUUGCAAGGCUGCAUCUUAAAGAUCUUGCUGCCUCCUCCUUGUUCUCAGAAAACAGCCAUCGCAUAAUGAGGUCUGUCUUGCUAGAGAGAUUACCUGGGGAUGGUGGUCUUAGUGUGAGGAAAAGGGAAAGGGUGAGAGACUAAGAAGCGCUGUAAAUAGGAAGAGACUUAAAAGAUAUCAGUCAGUUACCUUGAGUAGACCCUAUUUCAAUCCAAACUUUUAUUGGUUUCAGGUUAAACGUACAUAUUAACUUGGAGAGAGCUAAUAUUUUUAUGAUGAUGAAUUGACCAAGAACGAGAGACAUCAUUCCGCUUAGUCAAAUUUACUCUUGAAUUUCUCAGUCCAUCAGGAGUUAGUUUUAAACUUUCAUUCAUUUGCAGGUUUUUCCAGGAUCAGCAGAGAAUUGCAGUUCUGGUCUGCAAACACAGUAAGCCUUGUUCAGGUCUCCCCACAGCAAGAGAAGGAGAAUGGUUUAAUAGAGAGGAAAAGAAAAUUAGGAGGGCUGUAGUAAACAGAGAGUCCAUGGCUCUUCAUUGGCUGAGUCUUGGCCAGGAUGAUCUCUCUUCUUCCUGAUGGGCUCUGCUAUCAUUGCAGGGCCUGAAUGUUCCCCCUUCUUGUCUCCCAGCUCGAUUCAAUUGAGGUUCUUGUUUAUUCUUUUAUAGCAGUUUAAAAAAGUCACAUGUAUUUGGUAUUUUCAUUGACAUUUUAUUCUUUUUUUUUUUUUUCCACCCUGUAAUAGUAACACUCUCAGAGUGGGUACUUGAUAAAUACUAGGUAUAUGAAUGACUGUUUCUAGGCAAUGUUGGUUCCUGUUUGAAUAUUUCUGAGGGAACCAAAUAUGUGAUCUAAAUAGAGACCAUCAACACUCUAUGACUCAACAUGAUUUGGCCAUUCUGUUUUCAAGCAGAAUUUAAAACACUACUAUUCAUCAUUUCCUUGAACCAAUUUCCCCUUAAGCCAGUUAUUUAUUUCAUUCUUAUUUUACUGGGCAUUUUUGUCUUUGGUAUUCAUAUAAAACGGAAAUUAAUUCAUUAAUUUUUUUUCUUUAUACAGUCAUACCUGCGGCAUAUGGAAGCUCCUAGUGUAGGAGUUGAAUCGGAGCUGCAGUUACUGGCCUACACAACAACCACGGCAAUGCCAGAUCCAAGCCACAUCUGCAAACUACACUGCAGUUUGCUGCAACACCAGAUCCUUAACCCACUGAGCAAGGCCAGGGAUGGAACCUCAUCCUCAUGGAGACUACACUGGGUCCUUAACCUGCUGAGCCACUAUGGGAACUCUGAGUAAAUGGAAAUUUAAACAGUACUAUUUAGCAACAAACGAUGAUGGUGUACAAGGUUGAAUAAUGGCCACCCAAAGAUAUAAAGUACUAAACCCUGGAAUGUAUGUUACCUUAAAAUUUGGAAAAGGGAUUUUGCAGGUAUAAUCAAAUUAAGAAUUUUGAGAAGAGGAGAUUGCCCUGGAUUAUCUGGGUGGACCCUAAAUGCCAUCAUAAGUAGCUUUAAAAGAGUGAGGCAAAGGGAGAUGACACAGACAUAGAGGAAAGGACAUACGGAUCCGGGAGGCCGAGAUUGGAAUGAUGCUGCCUCAAGCCAAGGAAUGCCUAGAACUGCCAGAACCUGGGAGAGGCAAGGAAGGUGUUCUCUCCUUUAUCCUUCAGAGGGAAUGUGGCUCUGUGGACAUCUUGACUCAGGCUUCAGUCCUCCAGAACUGUGAGAGAAUACAUCUCUGUUGUUUUGUCACCAAGUCUAUAAUUUGUUACAGUAGCCACAGGAAAAUAAGACAGAUGGAAAAGUUACUAAAGCAUAUGAAAAUGGCUAUUGUGGUAAGAAAUUGCCUGGCUGAUUAGUGUGUGUGUGUAUGUGUGUGUACACUGAUGGGUUUGUCAAAUAAAUUUACAAGUAACCAAUUUGUCUUGCUAGGUAAUCUGUUAUUUUAAAUCUUUAUACAAUCUGUUGCUGUUUAUCUAUAUAAUCUCUGAGUUGAUUCAAACUAUUGUGCCAGGGAAGACUUAAAGUUUUUAAGGCCAACUGCUUAAAAGACAGAGUGCAUUUCAAGCUGAAGAAAUGUGAAUUUGGCUUUCUACGUAAGGUGUGGCUUGCCCUCAAAGAUCAUUGACAUGACAACACAUGAUAAAACCAAAAUUUUUGAACAACUAGUUAUAAGCAGCCAGUCUGAUGUUGCUUUAUCUAACAAUUAAAAGGUAUAGUUAGGAAACCAUAAACAAAUGAAAAGACAACCCAUAGAAUGGGAGAAAAUAUUUGCAAAUGAAGUGACACAUAGGAGAUGAAUCUCUAAAAGAUACAAACAGCUCAUUCAGCUAAAUAUAUAUAUAAAAAAAAUGGACAGAAGGUCUAAAUAAACAUUUCUCCAAAGAAAGACAUAGAGAUGACCAAAAAGCACAUGAAAAGAUGCUCGAGGAGUUCCUGUUGUGGCGCAGUGGUUAACGAAUCCUACUAGGAACUAUGAGGUUGCGGGUUCGGUCCCUGCCCUUGCUCAGUGGGUUAAGGAUCCGGCGUUGCCGUGAGCUGUGGUGUAGGUUGCAGACGCGGCUCGGAUCCCGUGUUGCUGUGGCUCUGGCAUAGGCCGGUGGCUACAGCUCCAAUUCGACCCCUAGCCUGGGAACCUCCAUAUGCCACAGGGAGCGGCCCAAGAAAUAGCAACAACAACAACAACAACGACAAAAGACAAAAGACAAAAAAAAAAAACAAAAAAAACAACAACAAAAAAAAAUAAACUUAUGAUUACUAAAGGGAAAGGGUCAAGGUGAAGGAUAAAGAGUUUGGGAUUAACAUAUAUACACUACUGUAUGUAAAUUAGAUAACCAAGAAAAAAAAAAAAACACAAAAAGAAAGAAAAAAAAAUUAGAUAACAAACAAGGACCUUCAGUAUAGCACAGGGAGCUCUACUCAAUAUUUUAUAAUAACCUGUAUGGGAAAGGAACCUGGGAAUGGAUACAUGCACAUAUGUAAUUGAAUCACUACUGUAACCUGAAACUAAUACAACAUUAUAAAUCAACUAUACUCCAAUAUAAAAAAAAAAUUUGGAGUUCUCUUAUGGCACAGCAGGUUAAAGAUCUGGCAUUAUCAUUGCAGUGGUUUGGGUUACCGCUAUGGUGAGAGUAUGACCUCUGGCCUAGGAAAUUCCACAUGCCAUGGCAUGGCCAAAAAAAUCCACAAAAAUUAAAUUUUUUAAAAAAGGUAUAGUGAACUAUCAGCAUUUCUACAACUAUCCACCUUCCAAACUUUCCUUCCUGUUUGGAAUAAUCUACCAUUGGUCUCAGUGGAACACAGGGUACCACCUCCCAUUAUAGUAAACAAAUGGUUAGAUUCUCCCUCUCUUCUUGGAGCCAGGACUUGGUCAUAUGACCAGGGCUUACUUCAUUAAACAUUCCCACCCAGGAACUUCUAUCCUGAAGAAUGUUUCAUGUAGACUUGAAAAAAAAUGUGUUUUCUGUUGCCAUUGGCUGGAAUGUUCUGUAUAUGUCUGUUAGAUCUGUCUGAUCCAUGUUGUUCAAGUCCAUUGUUUCCAUAUUGAUUUUCUGCCUAGAUCUAUCCAUUGUUGAAAGUAGGGGUGCAAUUAUUAUAUUGCUGUUUAUUUCUCCCUUUAUUCCUGUUAAUAUUUGCUUUGUAUAUUUAUGUUCUCCUAUAUAUAUUUACAGUUGUUAUAUCCCCUGAUGAAUUGAUCCCUUUGCCAUUAUAGAGUGAUGUUAUCUGUCUCUUUUGACAGUUUAUGAUUUAAAGUCUAUUUUGUUGGAUACAAGUGUAGUCAGUCCAGAUACUCCAAACACUUUUACUGCUCUGUUUUUUCCCCAUCACUCAGGUCACAGCAUCUCUGCCAGGGCACACCUAUCCUGGUGAUGCCCUCACAUGAAAUCUCCCUAUUCAUGAUGUUCUUGCCUCUGAUGCAUAUGCUGUUCAUGGGAUGUAGAUGGAAAUAGCUCAGUUAAUUUCCUGAUACUUGAAUAUGUGCUUCUUGAGAAAAACAGUGUGUGUUGAUAAUUGGGAAGAGUACAAGGGUCUUAUGCCUUUACAGGUUCAAAUAAAAGAGCAUUAUUUAAGGAA